rnacentral:lncRNA from 1 species
CAAGGGUUUAGCACUGGGCUUGACAUGCAGCAAAUAGAUAAUCUUAUUAUUGUUAUCACAUCACCAGCUCCUUAAGGACCAGCACUGGACUUCACCACCUUCACGCACACAGCCCCUUGGAUUCUCCGCGCCCUCCCCCGCCUGCGGAGCCCCGCCGCGUGCUGGAUCUUGGACUCAGACGAAUGGCCAUACCGCAGGACACGGGCCCUACUUUCUCGGUUGCGGUCAAAGGCUCCAGUGACCCAGCCCCGAGUGCAGCGGAGUUAACAUCCCACACAGGGGAUUUAGACUAGUGGGGCGCAGGAGCCUGGGGGAGCCAGCAGAUACGGUUUUCUCCAUCUGUCUGUGUUGAACUCGGGGGCUGUCCAGAGCCGUCCGUGGGCCUGGAAGCCCGCUGUGGCUCUUGGCAAAGUGGUGGCCAGCUCAGUGGUGCCUGCCCUGUGUGUACCCUCCCCCCUCCCUCGGUCCCUUUCCUGCUCUGAGAUUGUGCUUAGCUGCUGUCUGCUUCCUGGGGAGUCUAGUCUAAGCAGGUCAUGUUUCUCUUUGCAUGUCCAGCACUGCUGAGAACAAUACUCUGUCUUCAGUGCCCAGUCAACGUGUAUUGACUUAACCCAUGAAACCACGACUGUCUGAAUGCCUGAAGAACGAACGAGAAGGCUUGUGGUCAUCCCUGUGUUUCCACUGGAUAAGCCCGGAGGGCUGACUGUGCACCAGGACCUUUGCGGACGACAGGGAGCUGGAGACUCAAGCCCUGUCUGCACGGUGCUCACAGCUGCGGACACCUCUAUAUGUGGUGGACUGUGCAGAGGCGAGAUGAAAAUAUCUAACACAGGAGACCGUUUCCCUGAGCACCUGGACGCUUCGGUCUCUCACGUGACAACAGGCCAUUGAACCAAGGUCUAAGUAGUGAGGGUCUACAGUAAUUUUCUACUACAGAAGGCUAUUCUAGCAUCCUUGCAGAUGAGUGUGUGUGAGUGUGCGCCAGGACACGUGCGUAUCUGUAUCGUAUGCAGGAGGGCGUUCCAAUCAAGUCAAAGACUUCUGUUUCAUCUGUGCAUUCACUCGGCCAUCACAACAGCCUCGUACUUGGGACCUUGUGUUCAGGUUGGGGAGACAGAGGCAUGGACACGGCAAGAGAUUGAACAAGGUCACCUAGUCCAUCUGCAGAGAAACAAGAAUUUAUACCUUAAUUGACUGACAUCCAGAUGAAAACCUUUUCUCUGGGUUCCCCCUGCCCCUGCAGCUGUCGGUUCACCUUAGACUCAGCAGACAUAUUAUUAUACUAUUUUUUGUUGCUGUUUAGGGUAAAAUAGAUUUAGAAAAUUUGUUGUCAUAUUAUUGGAUUAUUUUAAAAUAAUUAUAUAAAAAAUAAAAAUAAAAAAUACUUAUAUAAAUUC